rnacentral:rRNA from 1 species
GACAGAGGGUGCAAACGUUGCUCGGAAUCACUGGGCGUAAAGGGCGUGUAGGCGGGAAGGAAAGUCAGAUGUGAAAUCCCUGGGCUCAACCCAGGAACUGCAUUUGAAACUCCCUUUCUUGAGUACCGGAGAGGAAGGUGGAAUUCCUGGUGUAGAGGUGAAAUUCGUAGAUAUCAGGAGGAACACCGGUGGCGAAGGCGAGUCCCUGGACAACACCUGACACUGAGGCACGAAAGCUAGGGGAGCAAACAGG